rnacentral:rRNA from 1 species
CUAAGCCAUGCGAGUCAUUGUAGCAAUACAAGGCAGACGGCUCAGUAACGCGUAGUCAAUCUACCCUAUGGACGGGAAUAACCUCGGGAAACUGAGAAUAAUGCCCGAUAGAACAUUAUGCCUGGAAUGGUUUAUGUUUCAAAUGAUUUAUCGCCAUAGGAUGGGACUGCGGCCUAUCAGUUUGUUGGUGAGGUAAUGGCCCACCAAGACUAUUACAGGUACGGGCUCUGAGAGGAGUAGCCCGGAGAUGGGUACUGAGACACGGACCCAGGCCCUAUGGGGCGCAGCAGGCGAGAAAACUUUGCAAUGUGCGAAAGCACGACAAGGUUAAUCCGAGUGGUUUCUGCUAAAGAAACCUUUUGUCAGUCCUAGAAACACUGACGAAUAAGGGGUGGGCAAGUUCUGGUGUCAGCCGCCGCGGUAAAACCAGCACCUCAAGUGGUCAGGAUGAUUAUUGGGCCUAAAGCAUCCGUAGCUCGUUUCGUAAGUUUUCGGUUAAAUCCAUGCGCUUAACGUAUGGGCUGCCGGGAAUACUGCAUAACUAGGAAGUGGGAGAGGUAGACGGUACUCGGUAGGAAGGGGUAAAAUCCUUUGAUCUAUUGAUGACCACCUGUGGCGAAGGCGGUCUACCAGAACACGUUCGACGGUGAGGGAUGAAAGCUGGGGGAGCAAACCGGAUUAGAUACCCGGGUAGUCCCAGCUGUAAACUAUGCAAACUCAGUGAUGCAUUGGCUUGUGGCCAAUGCAGUGCUGCAGGGAAGCCGUUAAGUUUGCCGCCUGGGAAGUACGUACGCAAGUAUGAAACUUAAAGGAAUUGGCGGGGGAGCACCACAAGGGGUGAAGCCUGCGGUUCAAUUGGAGUCAACGCCAGAAAUCUUACCCGGAGAGACAGCAGAAUGAAGGUCAAGCUGAAGACUUUACCAGACAAGCUGAGGAGGUGGUGCAUGGCCA